rnacentral:rRNA from 1 species
GCGCCGUAUUAGCUAGUUGGUGGGGUAACGGCCUACCAAGGCGACGAUACGUAGCCGACCUGAGAGGGUGAUCGGCCACACUGGAACUGAGACACGGUCCAGACUCCUACGGGAGGCAGCAGUAGGGAAUCUUCCGCAAUGGGCGAAAGCCUGACGGAGCAACGCCGCGUGAGUGAUGAAGGUCUUCGGAUCGUAAAGCUCUGUUGUUAGGGAAGAACAAAUGUGUAAGUAACUGUGCACAUCUUGACGGUACCUAACCAGAAAGCCACGGCUAACUACGUGCCAGCAGCCGCGGUAAUACGUAGGUGGCAAGCGUUAUCC